UGGCCGAUAAAAAUGUUCGCCAUGACACUAAAAUUAUUGCACCCUUAUCAGCCGGCUUCUUUUUCAACCCUAGACACAGCAACUACGUCAAAGCCACUCAAAACGAACAUUCAUUUACCGUGGAAUGGGGCAAAAUGACUUUGAAAGAUCGUACCGAUCUGGGAAAUUUCACCUUUCAGGCAACUUUGUUUAGAGAUGGUUUCAUCAUAUUUAUCUACAAAGAGUUGCCAGUUAAAUUAUCGGCUGUUGGAACGGUCACGAUUGGAGUGAAAGACACAUCUGAAGGAAAGUGUGCGGAAACAGGUAUGUCUAAUCAGGAUGAAGUUGUGCUUUUGAAUAUAUUUACCACGUUACAAUAAAUUUAGGCUCAAGGAUAUGCAACAUGCAUCAAAUCGAUUUCACCGACUUUACCAAGUUUAAGAACUGGACCAUGAUUUCCAUAAGGCCUGAAGAGUUUUGCCAUGAAAACAAAAACUGCGAUGACUGUACUAAGCCCAACCAGAAAUACUCAGAUCCUCAGUGCUUCUGGUGCAAAAAUCAGAUUGAGCAGUGUUUCAGCUUUCACGAAACGAAGGAGUUUGCGUGGAAAAAGGGCGGCUGCCUAAGGAAUCACGUUGUUGCGCCGAGUAAUUGCAGCACAAAAACUAAUUAUGCUACACCGGCGCCAAAAGUGACAGUUGCUAAGUCUGCUACGUUCACCCAGGCCGCCCCGGCGCCUAAAGUGACCAGCACACCGCUGCAAGCUGGAAUGAUCACACCUGCGCCAAAGAUUGUCAGUUCGAGACCUGCCCCGACCAAAACUAAACAGCAACCUAAAUCGACUUCCUCCAAGCCAGAAGUGACGAGUGCAACUCAUGACCAAGAAUUCAUUUCUCAGCAACCCCCUCGAGAAGUUGACCCAAAGGAGUUGCCCAAUGGGGUCCACGAAUUGAAAGAUAACACAUACAGUGCGUUUCUUUUCAUUUCUUUCUAGCUUGAUAGUAUUUUGAAGUUGUAUAACGAU